CUGCCCCCCAACUUGUGGGUCCGCAGGUUUCCUGCCCCCCAGCAGCAGCCUCCCCCUGCAGAAGCAAUUGGAGCACGCCAACCAGCAGUCCGGCUUCAGCGACGCCGCUCUGCACAACCCCCAGCUGCUGCCCAGCGCCCCAUUGCCCACCGUGGGGAAGGGGGCGCUGCCCUUCCCCCACGCCCGCCCAGCCUCCCCCGGGAGUUUCCAGCCCCACGGAGCCAGCGGGCAGCAACCCCAUGGGGUAAGUGUGGGGCUGAGCCCCAUAGAUGGGUCCCAACACCCCUUUACCCCUCACUUAUGGGUCCCGACCCCCCACUUAUGGGUCCC